UGCCCGUUUUAACCCCAUUUUCCCCCCCCAGGCCUGGUGCGGGCCCAGCCCCAGGGCCUGGAGCAGCUCGAGGCUCUGGGGGGUCUCGAGGUGCUCGGGGGGGCCCUGCAGAGCCCCCAGCCCCCCCUGCGGGCCCGCGCCGCCUUCCUGCUGCACUGCCUGCUCAGGGAGCACCCCCGCCUCAAAGGGCCCCUGGUGCAGCAGGGCCUGGUGGCGCGGGCGGCGGCGCUGCUGCGCUCCGAGCACGACGGGGCCCACGAGCACGGCCUGGGGAUCCUCUGCAGCCUGGCCUCGGGCUGCCCCGAGGGGCUCCGGGAGUGCCGGGACCCCGCGCUGGGGCUGGAGGAGCUGCUCAGGGAGCGCCGGGAGCUGCUGCGCGGCCGCGAGGAGUUCCAGGAAGAGCUGGAGUUCUGCGAGCGGCUGCUGCAGCUCUGCUUCGAGACCCCCCCCGAAGAAUCCACCAUGGACCGAUGACCCCAAAACCCCCCAAAAUUCCCCCAAAAAUCCCCUCCUGGCACCCCAAAAACCCCCAAACGCUGCGAGCCCCCCAAGACAGGGGGGAAUAAACGUUCCUGGUCCGA